CUCUAUUUUUUCCUCUCUCUCUCUCUCUUUAAAAACAAGAAGAGGGACAGGAAACGAAAAUUGAGGAUGCCAUAGAUGUUACAAGGGAGUUCGUCCAGUGUGUGAGUACCUCGGCAUUGGGGAAAACGUGUCAUGACGUUUGACUUCAAAAAUCUGGGAAAUGCGUUGAAAACUUGCGUGGUUGCGUUUUAGUCAAUUUUUGGCAUUCUUGAGGCCAGAAUCUGAACUCUCUACCUAAGUCUAAAAACGCAAGAAACCAAGAUGACGUGGUCCCUUUUGGAGAUUUUUAUCCUGAUAGCUUAUCUAUCAUCAAUCGCAGAGGUUCACUGUGAUUCGUUAUGCACCGAAGAACACCCGACCAAGCUAAAUGAGGAGAACUGCGAUGUUUACUGCAAUUCUCGGUGGGGUAGAGCCCCCCUGGUGAACAAACCAUGGGCGAUCGGAAAGUGUCUUCAGGAUACAGACAUAAAUCGAACAUAUUGCAAGUGCAGCUUCAAUGAUAAAGACCUUCAACAGUUUUUUUCCUACGAAAUGCUUUGCUACUGGAGCUUAUGCACCAUUGAGCGCCAAAAAAGCGCUGGCCGAGGAGGAAUACCUGAGACAGAUAUCUGAAAUGCAAUUGGAGGAUAAAUUUAAAUUAUACACUGAGGCCUACGGGAAGAGUUACAAGUCAGGAGACGAAAAACGAAAAAGAAUGCAGAUUUUCAAAGAAAAUUUGGUUGUCAUAGAUGAGUUAAAUGAGAAACAUAAGGGCAAAGGCAAUCUCGUUUUCGGAGUCGGUCCUUUCACUGAUCUAACACGUGAAGAAUUCAAAUCGCAGACGGGACUCUUAAGUCACCAAUCUAGCAGUCUCCGGCCUCGAGGACUGCCAUCGUCUGACUCAGCUGGUAUUGGAGGAUCAUCUCAUGGAUCCGCUACCUCACCCAAGAGAGAAAGGAGCUCCUCAUCGCCCAAGAGAGGAAGCAAGUCCACCUCCCCCAAGAGAGUAAGCAGGUCUACCUCCCGGUCGGUGAGUCCUAGAAGGGACAAUCCCUUCGAGGGCGGGUCUACCUCCCGGUCGCAGAGUCCUGGAAAAGAGAAUCCCUCCGAGAGGAGGUCGAGGGGUCGCUUCAAAGAUGAUGCCAGCUCCAGUGGGCACUCAGAUAAAAAAAUGAGAUUAUUAUUAAUUUUACUUCAAUAUACCGCAGUGAUAGCGAAGAGAGCACUAAGUGUCAAAUUUUCGAAAUCGAGUCUCCCUCAAAAUUCGUCUAAUCUCUUUUAGAUGAAAACACUAAAAUAGGUGAACAGCAAAAUUCAUCCUAAUUCUUUAAAAUCGAGACGGAGUCCAGACUCUUGAAAACAUUGACAAGAAAAU
rnacentral:lncRNA from 1 species